CCAGGACCAAGGUCAGCAGCAGGCGCGAAAAUUAUCGAAGCCCGCCUAGGGGCGAUAGUGAGGAGACGUGUAUAACGAAGUACGUGUAAAGAACGUGCUAAUAACUGGAGGUCAAGUCUGGUGCCAGCAUCCGCGGUAAUUCCAGCUCCAGGGGUGUCUAUGAUGAUUGCUGCGAUUAAAAAGUCCGUAGUCAAUCUGACUGACUGACCUGCAAUGUGAUUGAUUAAAGAACGAGCAGGGUUAGGAAAGCAGAGAAUUAGGAGCGACCGAGGGCUAGAGUAUUGAAUGGCGAGAGGUGAAAUUUGAUGACCCAUUCAGGAGUGACAAAGGCGAAGGCACUAGUCAAGGGCGAAUCCGAUGAUCAAGGACGUAGGCUAGAGUUUCGAAAACGAUUAAAAGCCGGAGGAAUUUUAACCAUUAAAUAAUCCGGCCCCGGGAAAAAGUUUUUUGUGGUUGUAUUGCGGAAGAGAAAUCAAGUAAGGCUUUGGGGAGAGUACGCGCGCAAGCGAUAAAUU
rnacentral:rRNA from 1 species